AUUUUAUUUAACUUUUUUAUUUUGCCGUAAUAUAAGUUUAAAAUAUAUUUGCUAUAAUGUCAAUGCAUGCCCCCAAAGCUUGAGACUAUAAAAAUGAUGCCAUUAAUUGUUUAAAAAGAAAAUUUAUGGGAUUUUGCUUAAUGAUUCUGUCUGAUUCCAGGACAAGUGUGAAUUUUAAAACUAUUCCACCCUAAUCAGACCAUUCUUUAGAAGAUCUGAUUUAGCUACUUUCUGAUCAAUAACAAUGGAGAUGCUUGGAAUAACAGAAUCAGGUCUUGGAAAACCCACAUUCUCCACCCUACUCAUUUUAACAAGAUUUUGAAAGAUCUGCAUCAAACUCAAGAUUUAAUUAUCUGAGGAGAUGGCCUUCAGAUGAGAUGCAGAAAAGUGAUAUAAAAAUGUCCAUAUAAGGCACAUCAGUUUCUGCCUCUUUUUCUUUCUCUGGAGAGACGACUCUGGAUUGGCAGCAUGCUAAGGGUUCCGACAUCUUGGAGUGUUGGAUGAGUAAUUUUAGGUUAAGAAACAUGCUACCUCUCCGAGUCCAGAAACUGAACUGUUUGGAGAAGACACGAUGAAGAUGCCUCCACAGACCAUAAGCUGUGCAUGAGAAGAUCAAGAAUAAACUUUGGGUGUGGUUGAUUGAACA
rnacentral:lncRNA from 1 species